GUUUCUCGUUGCAUCAUAAACCAUGCUCUGAUACCACCUUGUAACACCCCUAUCCCUCUAUAAAAAUAUAAACAAAAUAGGAGCUUCAUGUCAGACGCCCGCAGUCGGCCAACCCAGGUUUCCGAAACAAAUUCGUUCACCUGAGUUGUCCAACCGCAAGAGUCCAGCCUCCCGCUCGUGGCCUAAGGCUUUUCAACGCGUACCGCGGACGCGAGUUGUGUAAGCCGGAUAAGACUUAUAUGAGUCAGUAUAACCAUAUAAAUUUUAGAAAUCGGAGUCUUAUACAUAUAUAUAUAUAUCAUACGAGAAAUGGUUACCAAAACGUAUAUAGUUUUCAGAUCCUUUUUGAAAACCAUACAUAAUCUACUUAGUAAGAAUUUACAAAAAGCCGUAAAACCUACAUUGGUUUGUCCUAACUCACGAGCACCCUCUGCAAGGUCGGUUUACUAUGGCAUCCUGAAAAGAAUAAGUAGCAUCAUAAGUAAUCUAGCAUUACUUAGUGAACCCCGGAUCUAGACAGUGUUAUCCUAAUACCCUUUCUUACCCCCUAAGCAGCAAACAACACGUAACAAUAAUACAACCUAACAAGCAAGACAUAAAAAAAGAUAAC
rnacentral:sRNA from 1 species